rfam:Schistocephalus solidus strain NST_G2 genome assembly, scaffold: SSLN_scaffold0002511
GGCCCGUGGCUCAAUGGUAGAGCGUUUGACUUAAAUACCAAAGGUCGCGGGUUCGAAUCCCAGGUGUGCCA